GUCUUCUUGAUAAAAUAGGAAGUCUGACCUGCCCAGUGAAAAAUAUUUUAACGGCCGCGGUAUAUUGACCGUGCAAAGGUAGCAUAAUCAUUAGUCUUUUAAUAGAGGGCUGGAAUGAAGGGUUUAACGAAGUACUUACUGUCUCAUUUAAUUUGAUAUUAAAAUUUACUUUUUCAGUCAAAAAGCUGAAAUACUAUUGGAAGACGAGAAGACCCUAUAGAGCUUUAUAUUUAGUUAUUUAAUAAAUUUUUGAUAUAAUUAUUAUUUAUUAUUUAAUAAAAUAUUUUGUUGGGGUGACAAAAAUAUAUAAUUAACUUUUUUAUUUAUAUAACAUUGAUAUAUGAAAAAUAGAUCCAGUUUUACUGAUUGUUAGAAUAAGUUACCUUAGGGAUAACAGCGUAAUCUUCCUUCAGAGUUCAUAUUCACAGGGAGGCUUGCGACCUCGAUGUUGGAUUAAGAUUAUAAUUAGGUGUAGCCGCUUAAAAAAUAGGUCUGUUCGACCUUUAAAUUCUU
rnacentral:rRNA from 1 species